UACAGAGGUCUCAAGCGUUGUUCGGAUUUAUUGGGCGUAAAGGGUGCGUAGGCGGCAGGGAAAGUUACGUGUGAAAGGCCCGAGCUCAACUCGGACAUUGCAUAUAAUACUACUCUGCUUGAGCGCUAGAGAGGAGGCUGGAAUUUACGGUGUAGCAGUGAAAUGCGUAGAUAUCGUAAAGAACACCAGAGGCGAAAGCGAGCCUCCAGAUAGCAGCUGACGCUGAGGCACGAAAGCUGGGGGAGCAAACGGG
rnacentral:rRNA from 1 species